rnacentral:lncRNA from 1 species
CCCCUAGGGACCGGCUCUGCAGAGCCCCGGGGGCCUGACCCCGCCGGGCGCUAGUCUGGUCCAGGGGACGGUGUCGCAAAGUCGAUGUGGUGCCUAAAUUGCGGGGAUCAGAGGAGCUGACGUCAACGAGAUCGCCGGACACACUUUGGUAGGUCGUCAAAAUCCCUACCCUCCACUUCAGAGCCUUUCCUGGCCAAAGUCUGCGCCUGAAAGUGGCCGAAGACGUCUAACACUGUGAAGUGUCCAAGCAGUGAGCGAGGCCUUCCCAGCUGGGCCGCCGCUUCACAGCUCGUCCAAGGGCAUCUUCGCUCCUCAGCACGGUGAGCAGGCCGGAUCCGAAGCGCAGAAAGUCUACGUGAACUGAGUCAUGGUUCGAACCUCAAACCAUCUUCUUGGUUCUUGCCCCUUCUUCUCACAGAAGCGAAGGAAAUUCCUGUCUGCUUUCCACAGAGAGCUCUUCAGCCACUGUUUAGGAUGCUUGUACCGUUCUAGGGCAAUCGUGCCCUCUGAGCCACUUGGACAACCCGAUAACUUUGGAAAGAAAUCAAACUACAUGCAAAUGCUUUGGUUAGAGUUCAGGUAAUUUCCACAAAUGGCACUAUACAUUAUAAAAUAACACUUUACAUAUUAGGGUUCAACAUUACAGAGUUUUUCAGUUCUAGCAUGCUUCUUUAAUUAUUUCAGGCUUGCUUUUUGUAUCCAUCUUAUUUAUUAUCAAAUGGUAGUAAUCCAAACAUUUAUUUAGCUAAUACCUUAAAC